rnacentral:rRNA from 1 species
AAUGGACGAAAGUCUGACGCAGCCAUGCCGCGUGCAGGAUGACGGCCCUAUGGGUUGUAAACUGCUUUUGUAUAGGAAGAAACUCAGCUACGUGUAGCUGACUGACGGUACUGUAUGAAUAAGCAUCGGCUAACUCCGUGCCAGCAGCCGCGGUAAUACGGAGGAUGCAAGCGUUAUCCGGAUUUAUUGGGUUUAAAGGGUGCGUAGGCGGGGAUUUAAGUCAGUGGUGAAAUACUGCAGCUUAACUGUAGCACUGCCAUUGAUACUGAAUUUCUUGAGUGCGGUUGAAGUAGGCGGAAUGUGUAAUGUAGCGGUGAAAUGCUUAGAGAUUACACAGAACACCGAUUGCGUAGGCAGCUUACUAAGCCGUAACUGACGCUGAGGCACGAAAGUGUGGGGAUCGAA